UACGAAGGGGGCUAGCGUUGGUCGGAAUCACUGGGCGUAACGCGCACGUAGGCGGACCGAUAAGUUGGGGGUGAAAGCCCAGGGCUCAACCCUGGAAAUGCCUCCAAUACUGUCGGUCUCGAGUUCGGGAGAGGUGAGUGGAAUUCCUAGUGUAGAGGUUAAAUUCGUAGAGAUUAGGAAGAUCACCAGUGGCGAAGGCGGCUCACUGACCCGAUACUGAGGCUGAGGUGCGAAAGCGUGGGGAGCAAACAGG
rnacentral:rRNA from 1 species